rnacentral:lncRNA from 1 species
CCUCGUGACCGUUAAUAAACUAAUAUCAUUUCUGAAAUCAUUUAUAUCAAAUAUUUUCCAAAAUCAUUUGCAUGUUGUGCUUCUUCGUCACAUGCAUCUUCCGUUUUUGCCUCAUCAACAAUCUGUGAGCUGAAAUCCUAUAGAUAACUGAAUCUAAUAUUUCGAUCAACGGUUAAGAUUCGAUAUUCUCUCCGUGAUUACGAUAUUAAAAUUGUUGAACUCCCAUUUCCACAAGAAACAAAUGGUGUCCCUCCAGGCGUUGAAAGCACUGAGAAAUUGACAUCCAUGGCUUUUUUUGUUCCUUUCGCCAAUUCUACAAAACUAAUGUAGCAGGAUUUUGAAGACACCAUUCAAAAUCUUGAUCAAUCUGUUACCUGCAUAAUCUCUUAUACAAUUUUUGGCUGGAUACAAAAAUCUGCUACAAAAUUUGGGAUUCCUCAGCUGGUCUUUUCUGGCAUGGGAAUUUUUUCCACCACCAUGUAUCAGAUCUUAUUAAAAAACAGGCCGCAUGCAGGAACAGUUUCUCUCGACACUUCCUUUUUGAUUCCUGAUUUUCCCAAGUUGAAAUUGACAAGAGAUGACUUCGAUCAAGUGAUUUUGCCGCCAUAGCUGCACAUGAACUUCACUUUAUAAUAUGGGGGAAGCUGAUUGUUGUGCGAAUCCUCCCACGACGGCGAAUUCUCGAACUUAAUUUCACAGAAGUGCGGCGAGAAGCAGCCGGACUCCGAGUAAGACAAAUUGUACAGGUAUUUCUCCGUUAGCUUUGAGCACAAAAUUUUAGGAAGAAUGAUUACUCCAUUUGAGACCUUGCGCUGGGAAGAAGACUGAAUACAAGGCGGAUUCAUCAUUCAUUAAUUUGCUCCAAUUUGGGAUUCAUUAACCUUGAAUUCCGUCUCUGCUUUCUCUUUUAUUGCACCAUAGUUACAAAAAUAAUUCUCAACAUUUUGACAAUUAACUAGAUAAUCAUAUUUUUUUGGGAGUGAGGUGCGAUUUCAAGGAUUUGAAGUAUUAGUGCGGAGGGGAGUUUGGGGAAGGUGAAGGCAAUGAGAGAGGAGGAAUUGGGACAUUGAGAGACGAUCUUG